rnacentral:rRNA from 1 species
AUUGAACGCUGGCGGCAGGCCUAACACAUGCAAGUCGAGCGAGCGUCGGACGGGUGAGUAAUGUAUGGGGACUGCCCGCUAGAGGGGGAUAACUACUGGAAACGGUAGCUAAUACCGCAUACUAUCGGAUAACCCAUAUUGGAUUAGCUAGUAGGUUCGGUAAUGGCUCACCUAGGUGACGAUCCCUAGCUGGUCUGAGAGGAUGAUCAGCCACACUGGGACUGAGAAACGGCCCAGACUCCUACGGAGGCAGCAGUGGGGAAUAUUGCACAAUGGGCGCAAGCCUGAUGCAGCCAUGCCGCGUGUAUGAAGAAGGCCCUAGGGUUGUAAAGUACUUUCAGUCGGGAGGCGUUACCGACAGAAGAAGCACCGGCUAACUCCGUGCCAGCAGCCGCGGUAAUUC